UACAAUUUCAUGCUCUCGCUCUGGCAUAAAAAUGACCGAAUCUUUACUUUCGGGUAUUCCGUUGAACAGCAAUAUCCUUAGUGUUAGACUCUAUCAUGGAAGCAAAGGAAAAGACAUUGUGCUAUGUCUCUGUACAUACAGCACAUACUAUCGGUGUUCGUUGCCAUAUAUGACUUUGAAUCAGAUUUCAGUUGCAUAUAUUGCUAGAACAUACGUCGCCUAUGAAAAGAGUCUGCUUUGCACUGGCUGCGGAUAUUAUAGAGACCGUCAUACCUUUUGGUAGGGAUAGCACCUUUUCAAGCGCUCUCGAGCAGUGUCAAGCGCCGUGAAGCAUGUCUUGGUCACCACCUUGAGAUCGACUCUUGUAUCCCUCGUGAGAAGGAACAAACCCCCAGAUUACCGAUACAUUGUGGCCAAGUGGAGAGGUACUCACUCAGACACCACGAAAGUAGAUCCUUGACUGUCCCAAGCUGAUUCAUCUUGCAAGUGACGUGAAUCGGAAAAUUGCCAUCUCUGUCAUACUCGAGAGCGCUGGUGGUGAAUUUUCUCAGCAAAAGCUGGACUCCGUCACCGUGAUCAAGAUAUGCUGCUGAAUGUAGCUGCAUCUCUCAUAUGGAAAAGCUCCUCCUUCCUUUCUGCCAUCUCUUUCAGCAGACAUUAAAGGCGCUGAGGAUCCCAACGACCAUGACUCAUGGUUUACUUUCUUAGGUGAUAAUGAAUUUGCUGGAACUUAUGCUAAAAAUUUUCUCAUGCAGACAUAGCCUGAGCUUUUUCUUA